rfam:Lupinus angustifolius cultivar Tanjil contig_30295, whole genome shotgun sequence.
AUAAUAGCAAGGUUGUGUUUUUAAUCUAUGAGCAUGUCCUUCGUUAACUUCAGGGAUAGUAUUAGUUAACCAUUGUCUUUGGGUGAACCUUUUGUCUUGUUACUGAUUAUAGGUUCAGUAAAUGAUUGGAUAUUA